CCUACGGGUGGCUGCAGUGAGGAAUAUUGGUCAAUGGGCGGGAGCCUGAACCAGCCAAGCCGCGUGAGGGAAGACGGUCCUCUGGUUUGUAAACCUCUUUAGGCGGGGAGCAAUGCCGGGCACGUGUGCCCGGAGGGAGAGUACCCGCAGAAUAAGCAUCCGCUAACUCCGUGCCAGCAGCCGCCGGAAUACGGAGGAUGCGAGCGUUAUUCGGAUUUAUUGGGUGUAAAGGGUGCGGAGGCGGGAUUUUUAGUCAGACGGGAAAUGGCCGGGCCUAAACCGGGGCCGGCGGUGGAAACUGGGGAUCUUGAGUGGGCGAGAGGUGUGCGGAAUGCGUGGUGUAGCGGUGAAAUGCAUAGAUAUCACGCAGAACUCCGGUUGCUAAGGCAGCAUACCGGCGCCCGACUGACGCUGAGGCACGAAAGCGUGGGGAUCGAACAGGAUUAGAUACCCUAGUAGUC
rnacentral:rRNA from 1 species